rnacentral:rRNA from 1 species
UACGGUGGGAGCAAGCGUUGUUCGGAUUUACUGGGCGUAAAGGGCGCGUAGGCGGCCAGCACAAGUCAGUUGUGAAAUCUCCGAGCUUAACUCGGAAAGGUCAACUGAUACUGUGCGGCUAGAGUGCGGAAGGGGCAACUGGAAUUCUUGGUGUAGCGGUGAAAUGCGUAGAUAUCAAGAGGAACACCUGCGGCGAAGGCGGGUUGCUGGGCCGACACUGACGCUGAGGCGCGAAAGCCAGGGGAGCGAACGGG